rnacentral:lncRNA from 1 species
AGUUCUCAAUUUUUCCACUGGAAAUCCCGAGACUCAUAACCCAAAAACACCAGAGAAAUUAUCUCACCAAGAACAAAAGGAAAAGAAAAACCCUAAAUACAAAUGAACAAGCAAACCCCCUAAAACAAAAGGGUUCCGUAAAGAUCUUAGUAGCUUGGUGGCUUGUAAGCAAUGAAACUGAUGCACUGCACUUGACGCUUGUUGUCAAAUCCAAUAAUCCGAAUAAACGAAUUAGGGUAAACCUUCUUCGCCUCCUCAAGCUCCUUCAACACCUGCGCAGAAUCUGUGCAUCCAAACAUAGGUAGCUUCCACAUUGUCCAGUACCUUCCAUCGUAGUACCCUGGUGAUCUGUGGUUCUCACGGUACACGAAUCCGUGCUAUAUAUAUAUACAUAUAUAAUCGUCAAUAUUCAUGGAUUUACAUUUAUGGGUCUAUCUUAAAAUACAAUUACACAUCAUAAUUUAAGUAAAGAGGGAGAAGAAAAUGACCUCCAACUCGAAUUCCAAGCAAGGAAUCCACCCAGAUCGGAGAAGGUAAUCUACCUCCUUUGCCAAUUGUUCUGGGCUCAGAUCUGGCAAGUAUGAGAGUGUCUCGAACUUCUUCUUCCCAGUUGGAGGCCAUACCUGUACUUACAUACCCAUUUAAAGUUACAUACAAACAUACACAUAUAACAAUAUAUACCACAAAAACAUAAAUGGUUGUAGUGUAUUUCACCUGCAUGCAUUGAACUCUUCCACCAUUGCUAGCGAGAGAAGUAAUGUCAGCAUUGGUCUUACGGGUGACGGGGAAAGCAGAAGUGGAUUUCAGACCGGUGAAGGGGGCGACCAUACUGGCCUGAGCAGGGGUGGAUCGGCUGACGGUGGCGACGGUGGCGGAGGAGAUCAUGGAGGAGGCCAUUGUUCCUGCAACUCCUUCACUUCAACUCUCUUUUUCUUAUCUUCCCAGCAAGUUAACAGUUGGAUGGUGUAGUAGUGCCACGAUAGGGGUAUUAUAUAAUGGUACAUUACGGGUAAGGGGAAAUCGGACGGUCAGAAAUUGGAAAAGGUGGUGUUGAGUUAAAAUUGAUCGUUGGAUUUAGAAUGGAGAGGACGUUACGUUAUAAUGACCACAAUAUUGAUUUCAAGCCUUAUCACAAUGAGGGUGCCACGUGGCGGCAUGUCAGUAAUCUUAUCUGAUCCAAGGAUGGGAAAUGAGUGAUGGUGGUGGAGUUUUUUUUUUUUUUAAUUUUUUUUUUUUUUGUUGUUAAGUCUGAAAAAAUAUCACCAUGGAAAUAAAGCAUGGUGUGAGUGACGACAAAGACUUAAAAAAAUUUUGAUAAAUUAAUUUAUCUUUUUUUAAAAUUAAAUUAUUAAUUAUUACGUCAUGAAAAUAUACUAAAACCUUCUAUUUCACAAAAAAUAAGUAAUAUAACAAAAUAAAUAUCAAAUAAUAAAACAGUUUAUAUAAUGAGGUUAGCAGAAACAUGCAAUAUAUUUACAUACAUGCAUACAUAGGUACGUACGUAUAUAUGUGUACAUAUAUAGUGUGGAUUCAGAGUAUUUAGUUGGGCUCACUGGAUUGGCCAUAAGUUAUUAACGGAGCCUAAACUCUCUGCUCAUUGGGCUUGAACCGGCGGCCCAUAAAGUGACCCAUUUUACUUGGUCCGGUCUUUUUAAGACUUUUUGGAUUUAUAUUGCUCAAUAGGCCUAGACCGGCGGCCCAUAAAAUGGCUCAUUUUACUUGGUCCGGUCUUUUUAAGAGACUUUGAAUUUAUAUUGCUCAUUAGGCCUGGACCGGCGGCCCACAAAAUGGUCCAUUUUACUUGGCUCGAUCAUUUAAAGAAUUUAUUUGGAUUUAUAUUGCUCAUUGGGCCUGGACUGACGGCUCACAAAAUGGCCCAUUUUACUCGGCCCGGUCUUUUUAAAACUGAUCAUUGGGUCUGGACCUACGGCUCACAACAUGGUCCAUUUUACUUGACCCGGUCUUUUAAAGAAUCCGUUUGGAUUUAUAUUGCUCAUUGGGCUUGGACCGGCGGCAUAAAAUGACCCAUUUUACUUGACCAUGUCUUUUUAAAACUGGAUUUAAAUUGAUCAUUGGGUCUGGACCGGUAGCUCACAAAAUGAUCCAUUUUACUUGGCCAGACCUUUUAAAGAAUCUGUUUGGAUUUAUAUUGCUCAUUGAGCCUGGACUGGCGGCUCACUAAAGGACCCAUUUUACUUGGCCCGGUCUUUUUAAGACUGAUCAUUGGGUCUGGACCAGCGGCUCACAAAAUUGUCCAUUUUACUUGGCUCGAUCUUUUAAAGAAUCUGUUUGAAUUUAUAUUGCUCAUUGGAUCUGAACUAGCGGCUCACAAAAGGGUCCAUUUCACUUUGCCCGGUCUUUUUAAGACUGGAUUUAAAUUGAUCAUUGGGUCUGGACCGGUGGCUCACAAAAUGACCUAUUUCACUUGGCCUUAUCUUUUAAAGAAUCUAUUUGGAUUUAUAUUGCUCAUUGGGCUUGGACUGGCGGCUCACAAAAGGGCUCAUUUUACUCGGCUCGGUCUUUUUAAGACUGAUCAUUGAGUCUGGACCGGCGGCUCACAAAAUGGUCCAUUUUACUCGGCCCGAUCGUUUCAAAAAUCUGUUUGAAUUUAUAUUGCUCGUUGGGCUUGGACUGACGGCUCAUAAAAUGGCCCUUGGCCUGAUCUUUUUAAGACUCUGUUUGGAUAUAUAUAUAUAAAUAUAUACAUAUAUAUAAAGUGCCCCCAAUUUGACUUGGUUUCUAUAUGAGAAACUUCCAAACAUGUAGCUAAAAACUAUGGUCUCCUAUUAAACUAGCAAAGGUAACUUUGUGUUGGAAUUGACCAAAACUCUUUCUUCUUCUUUUUUCUUUUUCUCGUGAAGUCAUGGAAUCGAAAAAGAAAUAAUCAAUAUUAUAUUAUUGGAUACAAUUAAGAUAAUAUAUUUUAAUUAAUUAUUAUUACUCUUUUAUCUCUAACUAUGUUUUAAAUAACAUAUAAAUGCUUAUUUUUUUGUGUAAAAUUAAAUUAAUUCAUUGUUUUUAAAAUAUGAACAAAUAUUUUGUGUUGAAAAUUGAAUAUAAUUAAUAUAGUUGAAGUUCUCAAAUAAUCCUAAAUAUAAUUCAGAAUCUGAACGUACUAAAUACAUUUUUUACUAUCAGUAAUUAAUAUAUAAAUAAUUAAAUUAUUUAAUAUUAAUAAAUAACGCGUAAUUAGUAUUUCAUAAACAAAUUUAUUGGAUCUACCAUUUCUUUUAGACUUUAAUUUAUAAAUCUUAAUUUAUUUUUGAUUCGUAAAAUACAUUUCAUGAAUUCUACCUUUGGGUAGUUGUCACCCGCGUCUAGCGGUUUGAGUGACAAUCACUCCGCUAGAGCUCUCGUUGGCACCGAUCUUGUAAGAGAUACUUGUAUUAUAAAGAUUUAUAAUAUUUAUAAAGGAAGACGAUAAAUUUAGGCAAGAAGUUAUCUGAUUUGAGUUUUUAUUUUUUUACUAUUUACUUCGAUAUAUUGCAAUAAAAUACUCUAAAAUUUGAUACGAGACUUGAUUUAUAAAAAUCUAUAAAAGCAAUGAAUAUCAAACACAAAAAAAUACAAGAAAUAACGGAAUUCAAUAAAAAAAAACGAUAGUUCGAUGACGAUUUCUAUGAUUUUUGAUAUCUCAUUUCAUAUAUAGAAACUACAUAUAUUUAUACUUUUAAGUAAAUGGGAUUGAAGUAGAUCUUCUUCUACAACUCAUUGAAGCAUGUUUUACCCUAAUACGUACACACACACACACACACACACACACACGCACACACAUAUAUAUACACACACACGUUUGAGAACGUGUGUUCUCAUUGGUGGGCUCGAAUGCCCUUUUUCUCCUUUGACUUUGGGCUCAUCCGAUUCAAUAUCUUAUAACAUAAUUGCUAGUAUAGUUUAAUAACGUUCACAAAGAUUAUAAUAAUUAUUAGAAACUAAGGUCAUACGGUCCCACGAUUAUCUAUACUUCAAUAUUAGAACAAAUCAUGAAUCUAUAUAUGUAUAUGUAUAUGUAUAUGUAUAUGUAUAUAUAAUAUUAUGUAAAGACGGGCCCACAAAGGGCAAAACCAAGGAUGGCGGCCUAUUGUUUUGUAUGAAAAGUGGUAUUGGUUUGGGCGAGCGAAAGAAAGACUCCUACAAACAUGGAGACUAAUUGGGGAAAGGUGGCAGUUGAAUGAUUAUGUGGCAUAUCAUUCCUGUACGUGUCUGCCACGCGCUACCUCCUCAGCUUGCAUGGCCCCGGGACCCACUUACACUUGUCUCUUCCCCUUCACCCAAAAAAAAAAAAAUAUAUAUAUAUAUACAUAUUUUUUUUAAUUAUACACAAUUUAUACGGAAUUUCACUAUUUAUUUCAUAUUAUAUAUAUAUAAGAACAUAUACGUAUAUUGAUAUAAACAUGUUUUAAUUAAUUAAUUAAUUAAUUAAUAAAUAAUAUAUAUAUGUCAUGUCAUGUUGUAGAUAGUGUACAAAUACAAUGAUCCUUAAUUAAAGCAUGUUAAUUAAUAAUUUAAUAAUUAAUAAUUAAUAUAGGUUUUGGGUAAUACGUGUUAGUACGUGGGUUAUAUAUAUAUAUAUAUAUAUACACCAAUAUUUUAUUCUUAAUCUCUUUCGAGUGAUGAGUUAUGAUAUUAUAUAUUAACUUAGUUUGGCAUUAAUUAAUGUAUAUAAUAUGGUUUAAGUGUUAUUUUAAUAGAAGACGGCCACGAAAAGAAACAUUAACGAGUAAUAAAAUAAUUCACAAAGCAAUCUAACAGUUCCACAAUAGAUUUGCCAUUUGAUUAAUUAAAUGGUGAUCAACAAAUAGAAAUUAAUUAAAUCUUAAUUACUGAAAUUAAUGUGGAUUAAUUAAAUUAUUAAGGAAGAUAGAGAGUCGGGUCACUGUUCUCCCAAUUCUUCGCGGCCUUACCUUAAAUAAUUAAUUAUACGGUGGCGUUUAAGAAAUUCUUUGGGUUAAUAAUUUAUUUAAAUUUUGUAAAUAUAAUAAUAAUUUUUAAUUUUUAAUUUAUUAUAAACUAUGGACUAAAUUAAUAUAAAAAUAAAUAAGAUAUCAUAUCUUUAAUUACGACAUGAUUAAAAAUAAUUUUUGCUAAAAAUUUAUAAAAUAAAAUUUCAAAUCAAAGUUUUAAUCUAAAUCAUAUAAGAUCAACAGUAAUUAAUAAUUUUUUAAAGAUCUUAAAUUUAAAUUAGGACACGUCUUAAUUAUUAUUCAUAUAAUAAUUAUUGAGAUUUAAGCGAAGAGGUUGUGGGCCCACCAAGCGAAUUUUUUUUUAAAAAAAUAAUAAAAAUUAAUCGUGCAAAAAUAUUUUUAAAAUAAUAUAAAAAAUAAGAUGGGAUAAAUUUGUUUAAUUAUAUUAAAAUAGAAAACUAUUUUUUUUUAAUUUAAAAAAUUACGUAGCCAAUCAAUCUGGUGGAAAGCCAACUUAAUCUUAAUUUAAUUAAUUAAUACUUAAUUAAUUAAUUAAUUCCACCAACCUAAUCACAAUUUAAUUAAUAAAUAUUAAAUUAAAUUAAUCCCAAGUUGAGGUACUGUCUUGAAAGAUAAGCAUAAAAAUAAAAAGAAGACGACUUCCAAAACUGUUGGCUAAUUGGUCUUGUAGUGCGCCCACAGUCCCAAACACCCAAACCCGGAAACCGGUCGCCGGUUUUCACAUUAGCGGUUUUCUCACACACAAACUUCCCGAAAACCAGGAGCUUUUUUUUUUUUUAAAAAAAAAAAUUAUUUUAUUUUAUUAUUAAAUUAAAAAAUAAUGCGUUUUUUUAAAUUAAUUUAAUUUUCUAGACUCGGUGGGCCCGUUACUCACACUCCCACAAUAUGUGGCGAUUCGACCGCACUCUGACACCUGAACGUGUCUGCCACGCGCUGCUCUCUUCCUUUCUCAAAAUUUGGACCCACUUGCAUGUCAUUUCCGAACUCUUCUUCCCUAAAACCGUGGCUUUUUCUCUGAAUUACCCGUUUUGCCCUUACGUUUCUUUUGAUUUUGUCCGCAAAAAGGCCGUAAUUUUUGGAACCGGACAAGGGUAGUUUGGUAACGGGAAGAAGCCAAACGGGGAUUUGCAACUUGCGUCCGUUUUAAAAGGGAAGCCUUUUUUCUUGUCCGUUUGUGUUGGUCACGCGAAUGCACCCGCCAGGUGACAGCACCAAAGUGGAUUCCACAUUCCGGGAGUUGUACCGCACGCGCUGAGUUAGAGAGUAGUGAUGAAACUAAUCCUCACUAAUUUUGAUUAAUAUUUUUUUUAAUUACUAAAUUAAUUUAAUUUUUUUAAUUGUAAAUUUUGUUUUCUUGUUUUGGUUUGUGAAGACCUCCUUGAACGUGGAAACCAGUGUUUUGGACAUAAAAACAGCUGCGUUGCUGGUACCUGUAAACCCAGCGGCUCCAUAUUAAAACAUAUAUACUCUUUCGUCUUUGUCUCUCUCCAUCUCUUUAAUACUUACUGCUCUCUUCUCUCAUCUUCUCCAGUACAAAUUCGAAUCCUUCUUCUCAAUUUCUCUCAUCUCCUAAACCUACAUUUCUUUGUCUCUUUCCUUGAUUUCUUCUCUGGUUCGAUAAAAAUGCGUAUGAGUUGUAAUGGGUGCCGGGUACUGCGUAAAGGGUGCAGUGAUAAUUGCAGCAUCAGGCCUUGUUUGCAGUGGAUCAAGAGUCCUGAAUCUCAAGCAAACGCCACCGUUUUCCUCGCCAAGUUCUACGGUCGUGCCGGACUUAUGAACCUCAUCAACGCCGGCCCGGACCACCUUCGUCCUGGUUAGUAGUAAUUAACCAAAACGCUCAAACACCCAUUGAUCGUUACCAUCAUUUUUUAAAGACCCAGUUUAAUUUUGUUUUAAUGUUUUGAUUUUUUGGUGACUGCAGCGAUCUUCAGGUCGUUGUUGUACGAGGCAUGCGGAAGAAUCGUAAACCCGAUUUACGGGUCGGUCGGCUUGUUAUGGUCCGGAAGCUGGCAACUUUGUCAAGCCGCGGUUGAAGCUGUGCUGAAAGGAGCUCCGAUCACUCCAAUUGCCUCGGAAGCCGCGGCUAACGGCCACGGACCUCCGUUGAAGGCGUACGAUAUUCGCCACGUGUCAAAGGACGAGAACUCCGCUGCUUCCAAUGACCACCAGCGAGUCAAGACCCGGUGCAGGGCCAGGAGAGUUGUGAAGCCGAAACCCAGCAAGCCGGAACUUGGGUCAGCUGCUGAACCGGUUCGGGUGGAAGGAAAUGAUCGGGAAGAGGAGAAGAGGGGAAAGUGGAGCGAGUGCUACGCCGAUCAAGAGCUGAUGAAUCGAUCAACGAGUCAUGAGUCGUCGCUGAGUCACCAGUCGGAAGUGGCGGUGGUAGACGGGGAGAGCAAGGAGACGGAGAGCAUGGUAUCCGUGGAAACGGCGGAGGCAUCGCUGCUGUUGAGAGCGGAGACGGGGAACGAAAGCGGUGGGGUUGAAGACGGAGUGGAGCUAGAACUGCGGCUGGGGUUGGAGCCGGUGGCACGUGCAAACCACGUGGUGCCAAUGAAGAAGAGGAGGAUCGAGGAGAACACGUGGAAUAUGGGGCUGGGACUUUGAACUGGAGUGAAGAGAGUGGAAGUUUUGACAGGCUUUUGUUCUUAUGUUUAUUGCUUUUGUUUUUUGUUUUGGUGGUUUUGUAUGUUUUUUUUUUUUUUCUUCUUUUGAACAGAAGAGAGCUUGUACAAAGCGUCGUCGUUUAUAUGGGAAAAGAAGUCAGUAAAUUUACAGAGAAAACAAAAAAUUCUUGCGGGACAAAAUUUUAUAGCUCUUUUAAGGUAAACUUCAAAUGAAUUUAUUUAUUUUUUCAAUAGAUGAAAUGGUAUUAAACAUCGGACCAAAUUUGGCCCAUUAGGCCCGGAGUAACAGCCCGUGUGAGUCGAUGUUGAGCUACAUCAUAUAUCGAAAUGGGAGAUAAUAGAGAGCUCAACAUAUAUAAGGACUUCAAUAAGUCCUAGGUUCUCCUCCUUUCUUCCAUUUAUUCGAGUGCCAUCGCAAAUGCUUCAUUAAUCGCAAUAAAAGGGUUAGAGAUCAGCAAGUUUUAAAGUAACACUAACAAAUUUGAAUCAAUUUUGGACAAUUAUAAAGUCACCUUUCAAUGCAAAUAGAUAAUUGAUUGCGAUCCUUCCAAUAAACACGCGUAAUAUCUUCGAAACUCCACAAUUAUAAAGUCAUCUUGACUAAUAUUGCAUACGAAGCUAAUAACCCAAGUGCCAUGAGCAUCUAUAAUCAAGUAUAUUGCUUUUGUCUCCCUCGAUGUACCACGAGCCCAAACUAUCAUUGUUGAGGUUACACUAGUGAGUAAGGGGAGCUUGUCAAUUAACCCAAGGAUGUCUAUUAGAACCAUUAUGAAUGUCAGCGAGACUUCGCUUACUACAAGACACUUGGGCUUAAGAGCAUUAUGGAUAAAAUUUUAAUUGGUCGGGGUUAUGAUAUGUCGAUCAUUCAACAUACGAAUUUAUUAUACUUCGUUAAAAGCAUCAAAAUUGUUGUUGCAUAAAUUUCAUUUCAGCUCAUAAUUUGAAAUAUGUUAAAUACUUGUUUGCGAAUUCCAUUUAAUUAAUUUAGUAACGGCGAAAGAUAAUUAGAUGACUCGUUUGAAGAAUUAUAUUUAGUUUCUUAUUGAAACGUUUUUAAUUAUAGUAUUUAGAAAUUAAUAUAAUAUAAGAUAAUUAUACAUUUUAAAUAGUUAAAUAUUUAAUACCACGUGCUCAUUUAAUUGAUAAUAAAUAGAUGUUGCACAAGAUAAUUAUAUAUUUUAAAUAAUUAAAUAUUUAAUACGACGAGUAAAUGUAAUUAAUAAGAUAUCAAUCAAAUUAUUUAAUUAAACGUUAGAUAAUAUAUACAUAUAUAUAAUAUAGGAUGAUAUUAUAUUUUAAUCUUUUAAAAUAUGUAUAAAUUUUAAAUUAUCAACAAAAUUUAAAAUAAUAUACACUCUCAAAUAAAAUUUAGAUUUGUUGUGUGUUACAAUAUUUACUAUUCAUUGAAAUCCUCAAUUCAUUUUCUUCAAAUUUAUUUAAUAUUUUUAUAAAAAAUAUGAAACAAAAUAUAAAUUAAAAAAUAUUUGGGCGCAUUGAGUUGAGCUCUAGAAUCUUCCAACCCUAAUAGUGAAUGGGCUAUGUAUUCGUAACACUGUAAAGAAUCCAUGGCGGUGAUCUGAUAAGGCCUGUGAAAUCUCACGGUCUAAAGCCCAUAAUCAAUUAGUUCGGGAAUUAACCAGGCAAGACGACGACCCACGGUCGCUCUUUCCGAUCUCCGCCUCUUUUGUCUCUACGCCCUCACUGGUGGAUGGAAAGCGCCACCGCGCACCCCUGCAAGCGGCGGUCAGUGUCCUCUUCGACCUACAUUCUCUCCUUCUCUCUCUCUUCAAUCUCCGUACUCUUCUUACUCUCUAUCAACUCCUUCCUUCACUGCGCUGAUCAAACGCAUACUGGAUUCUCUCUCUCAGGUUCUCACUCUUCCGCUUCUCUUUCUUGAAAUUUCUACGUCCGUUUCUUUCUUGGUUUCUUGUUUGCUUAAUUCUUUUAGUGGAAACGCUAAUUUUCUUUCUUGUAUUCUUUAUUUGUUCGUUUACAUUUUUUUUUUCCUUUCACUUGAUUUUCCUGGGAAAAUCUGAAUGAUUUCUUGAUGGAUCCAUAACUUUCUCGUAAAUUCUUUCCUGAUACUCCGGUUCAUUUUGAAAAUUAACUGCUUUUAGAUUUUGUUAUUUGAAUCUUUGAGUUUUUUCUUCUGGUCUUUGAUUAUGUUUGAUAUAUCACUGGGUUAGGGACGGGAAUGUGAUCCAUUGAAUUCAAUUCGCUAGUGUCAGUUGAAAUUCAGCUUUGCAUCAGGUUUAGAGUGCCAAGAGUAGAUUGUUCUAUGUUGUUAGAAGUUCUAAUAUGAUUGGAAUUGCUUGUUGUGACAGAAACUUCAUAGGUUUUCACCCGGUUUAAAGAUUAGGAACCCCUAGCUGCCUUGGCUCGGAUUGAAAAAGGAUUUUGAGAGCAAAGGUAGCAGGAUCCCGAAGUGAUUCACGAGGAAGAAUCUGUAACAUAUACCUAAUCAGGUAGUUUAUUGAAAUACUCUUUUUUUCUUUGUGCUUUAUUUUCCUAAAUGUGAUUUUUGUCCUACUGGUUUAUACUGUACAGAGGCUGUAAUGAUGCUGAUUGAUCUGGGUGUUCCAAGUUUUAGGCUCUGUUUGAAAACAGUUACCAAUGUAGGACAAAGUAAGGUUAAUUUGUGUACUUAGGUAUUUGGGGAUUAAAAAGUAAAAGUCGUAUUAAAGGUUUCUUAGCUGCAAGUCUUAAGUAUCAAAUUAAGGAUUUAGUUACAUCACACAAAUAGAAAAUUAAAGAACCCUCAUGAAUAAUUAAAGUCUAUUCCGAAAAGUAAAAUUAUAAUGUUCUCCAAGUAACUUUACUAAAUAGGAUUAAAGUAAUGCACACUAAUACUUGUAGAAUUAGGAAAUAGUACUACAGAUGCGAAAUAAGAAAAAUAAAAAUAAUUAAGAAUGGAAUCUUAAAGUUUCUAAAAGUAUAACGCUACGCUCUUAAAUAGUAUAUUACAUUUAUAUUUAAUGGAAUUAGGAUUUUUAGUCUGUUUAGGCAAUUUUGAACUAAUCCGUUAUGCAUCAUUUUUGCUUAGUUGGAGAAAACUCGACCACAAGUUUUGAAGUAGCAAAUAAAGUAAAAAAUUGUUCAUCGAGAUUUCCCACGAAAAGCUAGAAAAUUUUACGUGCAAUAUUCUCUUUAAUACCAAAAAUAAUAUGAAUACAAUUGUUUAGGAGUGUGAAAUCUUGGGAGGAGGAUGAAAUCAACAUGUUGAUUGAUUGGUGUUUCAAGUUUCUCCUUGAAUGGAACUUCCAAGAGUUACCUUUGGAGGAAUGAUCUUGAGCAAUUCGAACACAUGGUGAUUCUUCUUGCUUAGCCACUUUAGCUUUUGUGGAUAUGCAUGAGCUAAGUCAUCAUCCUCAUAGGAUGCAUAAUCAUCAUCUUUUCCUUGUAUCUCAUUUUUUUUUUCGGUUUCAUUCCGAUAUGCAAGUUAUUCUUCUUUGGGCAUUUGAAGCUCAUAUGUCCACUCUGUCCACACUUAUGGCAAACAAUUUACUUACCUCUUAGGAGGAGUCUUAGAAAUUGAUGUUGAUCCGUCGAGUUCUGUUUGGUUUUACUUUCCCCUAAUUUUUAGUCUUGCUUUUUCUUGUGAAUGAAUUUGCAUCAUUUUAUGAAUAAAAAAUAUAUAAAUUUAGAAAGUGGUAACCGAAAAUGUUCUUAUAUACUAACUAGUGGUCUUUACUUUUUUAUGCUUUCACCUUUUUGGAAUGAAUGGAAAACACUUUUGCUUGGUAAAAAAUGUAUUAGCUUUUCUGACAAUGAAACUAAAAAUAUUAGAAGACUUGAACAUAACAAGAAUUUUUUUUUGAUGUUUAGAUGAUAUUUAUUUUCAAACACACUUUUCCCUUUUUACCUACUAAACUCAUUUUCCAAAAAUGAUUCCAUUUUAUUUUAUUUUCUGAAACUAAAAAUUAUUGUCAUUUUUAUUUUUUUGGAAUAGAAAACUAGAAAAGGUUUUCGACAACCAAACAUAACAUACUUAUUCUAACCUUCCCUUUUUUGCUUCCGGAAGGUGUAUAUUCUUAUUUUUGUUUCGAUUUCCUAAGUAGUUAUGUAAAUAUGACAAGAUGUACUCUCAAAGGAUGGUAUCAUAUGGGGUAUUGAUGGAAUAAUCAUAAAAUUUUGGCUAAAAGUACAUUGUAGACUUUAGAUGAUGAAAGAUAAAUUAGGGUGAUUUUUCUAUUUAGGAAUUAAGGAAUAAAACAUAGAUAUCAAACCUAAGAAUUGUUAACUAUUACACUUAAGAGUUCUAUUUAUUACACAACCAGAGAGAGAAUCUUCAAAUACUUGGUCUGUUGAAUAAUUGGCCUUCUCUCAGAAGUGAGAUACUGAGGUAUUUAUAAUGUUUGCCACGUAACAUUUCCCAAAUAGGAAGAUGGACUGAUACUAGGACAAUAGGAAAUAUCAUAAUAGACUGUAUCAAACUCUUCGCUCAAUCAUGCUAUUCAAUAGUGAAAUGAUGGGAAUAUACAACUGGUUAGCAGUGUGAAACUUUGUAGGCAGGAUGAAAUCAACCUAUUGAUAAAUUUGUGUUUCAUGUUUAUUCUUGAGCUCCUAGAAUUGCUUUUUUUGCUUGGAAAGCCAGUAAGAGAAGAUUCUGACCUUGGACAACUUGAUGAAAAGAGGAAGAAUUAUGGUUAACAGGUGUUUUUUAUGCAAAUAUGACACCGAGAGCUGUAAUCACAUUCUUCUUUGAUGUCUCUUUGCUUCAAAUUUUUGAUCCAUGAUCUUUAAUUUGAUUGGUAUUACUUGGGUAGUGGCUGGAUCCGUUCGUGAUGAACUCCUGGCUUGGAAAUGUUUAAACUCAAGCAAUCAUGUUAAUCACCUUUUCCCCCUUACAAAUUUUUUGAACUAUUUGGAAAGAAAGAAACAAUAGGGUUUUUGAUGAUAAUGAAGAUACUAUUAUAAAUAUUAAAGAUAAAUGAUUACAUUGUUUUGGCUCCAUCUUUUUGGGUCGUAACUUAUUAUCUUUCAAUGACAUUAGAGUUGUUAUCGAUAUUUUCUUAGAUAUGUAAUAUUUUUGUACAUGGGCGGUAUCCCCUUGGUGCCAUUUUCUAAUACAGCUACUACUUUUAUCUAAAAAAAAGUUUAUUCUUGAGUUGAACAUCACUAGAUCUAAUUGUUGAUUUAGGUUCUCUCUUGCACUAGACUUCUAUUAGUCUUUCUUUAACUAAAUGACAUUCAGGAAUCUCGAAACAUUUGCUCUUCAGAAGACAUAGCAGUUUUUGUUCUUAACCCUAACAAGCCUGAUUUUUCUGUUUGCUUCCUUGACUAUAACUUGUUUAUGGUUGAAGAUGCCGAGUAUACAACUAAGGUCAACCUAGAAGAAUAUGUGCGAACAAUAUAGUGUCUACAUUAUAUAAGAUUGAAUAGUUAUAAGCUCCAUGAUGAAAAGAAAAAAUAUUUUUUUAAGUUACCAAAAUACUUAUAUUGUCAAUUCAAGCUAUUUUAUAUGGUCGCUAAUGUGGUUGCAUUAAGCAUCUUAAAUGUAGAGAUUAAAG